AGAGUUUGAUCCUGGCUCAGGACGAACGCUGGCGGCGCGCCUAACACAUGCAAGUCGAACGAGAGAGAGGGAGCUUGCUUCCUCAAUCGAGUGGCGAACGGGUGAGUAACGCGUGAGGAACCUGCCUCAAAGAGGGGGACAACAGUUGGAAACGACUGCUAAUACCGCAUAAGCCCACGGCUCGGCAUCGAGCAGAGGGAAAAGGAGCAAUCCGCUUUGAGAUGGCCUCGCGUCCGAUUAGCUAGUUGGUGAGGUAAUGGCCCACCAAGGCGACGAUCGGUAGCCGGACUGAGAGGUUGAACGGCCACAUUGGGACUGAGACACGGCCCAGACUCCUACGGGAGGCAGCAGUGGGGAAUAUUGCACAAUGGGGGAAACCCUGAUGCAGCGACGCCGCGUGGAGGAAGAAGGUCUUCGGAUUGUAAACUCCUGUUGUUGAGGAAGAUAAUGACGGUACUCAACAAGGAAGUGACGGCUAACUACGUGCCAGCAGCCGCGGUAAAACGUAGGUCACAAGCGUUGUCCGGAAUUACUGGGUGUAAAGGGAGCGCAGGCGGGCGAUCAAGUUGGAAGUGAAAUCCAUGGGCUCAACCCAUGAACUGCUUUCAAAACUGAUUGUCUUGAGUAGUGCAGAGGUAGGCGGAAUUCCCGGUGUAGCGGUGGAAUGCGUAGAUAUCGGGAGGAACACCAGUGGCGAAGGCGGCCUACUGGGCACCAACUGACGCUGAGGCUCGAAAGUGUGGGUAGCAAACAGGAUUAGAUACCCUGGUAGUCCACACCGUAAACGAUGAUUACUAGGUGUUGGAGGAUUGACCCCUUCAGUGCCGCAGUUAACACAAUAAGUAAUCCACCUGGGGAGUACGACCGCAAGGUUGAAACUCAAAGGAAUUGACGGGGGCCCGCACAAGCAGUGGAGUAUGUGGUUUAAUUCGACGCAACGCGAAGAACCUUACCAAGUCUUGACAUCCUGCGACGAUGCUAGAAAUAGUAUUUUCCUUCGGGACGCAGAGACAGGUGGUGCAUGGUUGUCGUCAGCUCGUGUCGUGAGAUGUUGGGUUAAGUCCCGCAACGAGCGCAACCCUUAUGGUCAGUUACUACGCAAGAGGACUCUGGCCAGACUGCCGUUGACAAAACGGAGGAAGGUGGGGAUGACGUCAAAUCAUCAUGCCCUUUAUGACUUGGGCUACACACGUACUACAAUGGCGUU
rnacentral:rRNA from 1 species